UUGAUACCCUAUUAUUAAGAGUUUAAAUUAAUAUUCCUAUUAUUAUAAGUUAUGAUCUUUAAAUUGAAAGAGUUUGACGGUAAUUUUAAUCAUUUUAGAGGAACCUGUUCUUUAAUUGAUAAUCCACGAUAAAUUUUACCUCUAAAAAUUUUUGUUUGUAUACCUCUGUUUGAUGAAUGUUUUAUUAGAAUAUUUUCUUCAAUUUUUAAUUGAAAACUAUAUCAGGUCAAGGUGCAGUAUUUAGAGGGUUGAAAUGGGUUACAUUUAAUUUAUAUAUUAUUGAAUUAUAGAUGUUUAUUCACUAUAUGAAAUUGGAUUUAAUUGUAAUGUAUAUUAUA
rnacentral:rRNA from 1 species